GACGAACCGUGCGAACGUUGUUCGGAAUCACUGGGCUUAAAGGGCGCGUAGGCGGCUUGCCAAGUCCGGGGUGAAAUCCUCCAGCUUAACUGGAGAAGUGCCUUGGAUACUGGCGAGCUCGAGGGAGGCAGGGGCUGUGGGAACUUCCGGUGGAGCGGUGAAAUGCGUUGAUAUCGGAAGGAACGCCGGUGGCGAAAGCGCACAACUGGUCCUCUUCUGACGCUGAGGCGCGAAAGCCAGGGGAGCAAACGGG
rnacentral:rRNA from 1 species